CUGUGAUCAAAUGACUUCAUGCUUUCUUUUUAGCGGUGAACGCAAGGGAAGUAUUGAGAUAAAUAUUUUCUUUCUUCUUUAUAGGCUCAUUUAGGACCAAGUUGUUCAGUAUAACUGUGAAAAAUUCAUUGGUUUGAUCAGUGGCAAAUCAACUUGCAGAUGUAUCCUGAUACUUCUAUAAGAAGAUGCUAUAAGCACACCCUCAGGACAUUAGCAAAGGCUUAGUGUCAACAGAAGUGUCCCAAUUUAUCGCAUAUCAUUUGAGUGGAUAUAUGAAUGAUUUGCUCCAACAGCUUGAGAAGCUAACAGGAAUAUGCAAGCAGGCCUUGGAUCAAGGCUGCCACAGAUAGUUUAUGGCAUACUACAUCUGAAUUGGGGCACUUGAAAAUCCAGAUUCUGUUCACAGUACUUGACGGCAGUACCAUGGCACCACUUCACUGCAAGAUAAUAAAACUCACAGUGUGAUCCAGAUUGUUCUUUAAUGAAAGGAUUCUCCCCACGCUUGGUUAUAAGAUUUGGCUAAUGCAGGAGGAGGCUACAGCCAGCAAGGAAAUGAAUGAAGAGGUGUGAUAUAUCUUCUUUUAGCAAAACAUAAGUGAGAGGAUUUGACUGGGUCCACAGAGAGAUCAAAUACUAAAAAGGCAAUAAAGGGAGAACAAUUGGAAGAAGCUGAAUGAGUCACAGAGCAGUGCAGAAUGAUUUCUUUAAUCUCCACCAUGCGUUUCUGUUAAAUAACUCCUUAUUUUGCUUUUUAUGAUACCGUGACAGGUCUUAAAUUGUUAGUCUCUUUUUUUCAGAUUGUAUGAUAAUUAUAAGAAAUGUGGCAGGAUACACAAGUACUGCAAAUGCAGAUGCUACAAAUUUAACGUCUGUUACUAGCUCCAAUCACACCUACAUAUGCUUUAGACAUGAAACUAAUCUUAAGAAUUUAAAUGGUACUUGCAUAUAUUAAGCUAAGCAAAUUUAUUCAUACUUUGUGGGGUGGGUCAUUUUUACCAAACACCUAAAACCGAAAUGGGAAUAUUAAUAUUUCCAAGAUAUUUCACUGACAGUUUUAACUCCAUUUUUCCAUGUCUUUAAAAUAUGAAUUUUAAUAUUAUGGUGACAUAAGAAAAAUCAGAUCUUCAUAUUUUUGGACUAACCCAUUUAGUAACAAUUUCUGUAUUGCAACUGUAUGUAUUGAGCUAUCACUCUUGCAAUAAUAAA